CAUGCUGUAAUGUUGCUCUCUCAUCAAAUACAUUCCUGGAGGGUUGCUUUGAAAAAUGCUCCAAUCUCCCGCGGCAACCGUUCGGGUUUGUAAAGCGCUUGGUGGAGCUGCCUCCUCAGAGCUGCAGUCUGUGACCUCACACGGUGUGGUCAGCCACUCGGCUCCUUCAGACUAGUCAGCAGCAAUUAGCAAACACCUGCUGGAUGUGACAGGUGGACAUUCAGGAGACAAUCGGCAUAGAGAGAGCAGGACUAUUCAGGCUUUUGUCCCUCCAUGUCUCUCGUCAUCCCUCUCUCCUUUCUCUCGUUUGCUCCUCACUUUCGUUCUCGUUUCGUUUCACUUCCACUUGCUCGCCACCUCCUCCCCUCCACUCUGCGCUCUCGCUCUCAUUUCCUCUGCCUUCAUUCUGCUCUGCCACUCAAUUUGUAUCCACUCGCCUCCCGUCCCCUCUUCUCCUCCUGCGUCUUCUCCACUUCUCUUCAAAUUUCCUCUCUCCUCCCUUCUUAUAUCCUCUCAUUUCCUCCCUUCCAAUGCCACUCUUCCUCCUCUCUCUGUUUUCCUCCACUUAUUUUUCUCCUUUUUUUUAAUCAACAGAGAAAUUACACUUGUACCAAGUAGGGUUUUUUUUUUUCAUUUCAACAUAAUCUGAAAUAUCACCGAUUUGCUUUCUUUUUUCUUUUUAGCAGCAGAAUUUCGACUAGAGCAGGUAUAUUUUCAGGAGGGCAGCAGUGGUGAGCUGCAGGUAAGAGGAUAAAUGAGGUGGAGAGGGUCAGCGAAAGCAGCAAACCUGGCGGCGUGUGUGUGUGUGUGUGUAGAAGGGAUACACACAACGAGUCGAUGCCGAAUCCAUUUGAAUAUUCCGAGACGGAAAGCAGCUGCGUGCAAAUGUGGGUGUGCGGCAGGGUGGCCACAGGGUUGAUUUCUGUCUUUACGUGUGUGGGCGCUCGUGGUCCUGCAUCUGUGUGUGUGUGUGUGUCUGUGCAGGAAGAGCAGGGUGAUUGUGUUAAAUUGUUUCUGCGUCGAGGAGAUAACACAGCAUCCUUAUCAGCUGCAUCAGGGAGGCUUAAGACAGCGAUGGGCGUGAGGGGAGAAUGAAUUUUCCUCACUACUCUGCAUUUUACAGGAUUACACUGCACCUUUAGAUAUGCUGGGGCUCAGCCUCGCGGCCAUGUGCACGCAGAUUACUGAAACGGGGCUGUCACACUGGCGGACGCACCGAGGCAGCGCCGGCUGCACCGGGCCCUGACAUGAAAAGGAGGCUGAAGUUGGAUUUGCUCCAAGCGGAAACCCAAUAUUGGGCCAAACGAAUGAUUUAGGUGAACCUCUGGGUGUCGUCUAUUCUGACUUUUUCAGCCAAAACCAUGGCAACCGCAACCGGCAAGCGAUCAAGAGACAACGUCUACCUCAACAGGGAACAGUGUGAUGUUUGAACAUCCUGAGGUCUUGCUACGCUGCUGCCAAUGGAGCAAGACAUUUAACCAAAAGACAUUCUGAAAACUGUCUUUUUUUAAAUUUGAUAUUUAUUUGGUAUAGGUUCAGACAUUUACAUUAUUAAACUUAAAUUAUGUUUAUGUUAAAUGAUUCCAUUUUUCUUCUUUUUCUUUUUAGUUUCAAAUGUGUCCAGUAUUUUUUUAAUCGUUUUUUUUGCCUUGCUGGUGUUGACGUCCAUGUCUACGCUGCCGGGGUCACACGUGACUAAAUAUGUUAAUCAGGCGUCACCGUCAUCUAUGGGCGACUUCCGUUGUUUCAAAAUGGGUUUUUAAAAGUAUCGAAACGGGAAAAUCAAAUGACACAGACAGGGG